GAUACGGCUAGAGAACACUGAAGCUAAAAGAAAGUUUAUUCUUUUUUUUAAAACCUUCUUUAUCUCUCUCCUUAGAACAUUCCAAAAGCCUUUGGAAAAGAGAAGUGGCAGGAAACCCAAAUAGAGGCAAAGGGUUAACACUUUUGACAACAUGAAAAACUGUCAAAAAACCUAAUAGGCCUGAUGAACACAUAUUCUUGGAAGAGGCUCUACGAAAACAUACUGCUGACUUCAA
rnacentral:lncRNA from 1 species